UUCCGAGUUGUUGGUAGUUAAGAGGUGAAACGUUCUCAGCCGAAGUUCCCGAGUUGAAUUUUCUCUGGCGCUCAUCAUAGAAUGAUAGAAUGGCUUAGGUAGGGAGGAACCUUAAAGAUCAUCCAGUUCCAACCCCCCAGCCGCAGACAGGGCUGCCACCCACCCACUAGGUCAGGCUGCCGCUGUACACCUCGUUGGUGUAUAGCAGAGGGUCUUAAAUCACACAUACAUAUGAAGAAAAUUUGCUCCAUCCAAUUGCACUUUACUUUGUCAGAGCUCUGCAAAGUGGGGCUGGCAGCUGGAGCUGCCUAGUCAUGUCCAGGAUAGUUCAGCUACAGCUGUUUAAAAUAUACAGCAGAUCCAAGAGCAAGUAAGCAAAGGGCUGUACGGUAACCCCUCAUGUAAAGAGAAAUAAAUGGAAACCAACACAAAACACGGGCUAAGAUGACCUCCUUUACCUCAGAGACUAUCGAGCAACCAGUUCUCAGCAGCUCAGACCAGUAGCCACAUCCUUUCAUACCAAGUCCAGGUCGCUGAUGUUGCUCUGGCACUUAAAUAAGUCGCUCCCUGCAGGACUGCCCAUGGCUGACAUAAGCCCUGUCAGACACCUUUGGGAGCAGUUGGCGUCUGUAGGCAGUGACGGAGUGCUUUAAAUAUUUACCAUUUUUCCAGCAGAAACCAUCACAGAUUCAGUGGGAUCAAAUGAACUGAGCUUUUGGGUCACCUACAUUUUUCAGAACAGCGUCUUCAUUAUAUAGUAUAAACUGAAUAUAGGUUGUUCCAACUUUUUUUUUUUUCCACAGUUUCUGGAAGUUUUCUAGUUCACGAUAGAAAAUCAUAUAAUCACAGAUUCACAGAAUAGCCCAAGCUGCAAUUCCAAGACCCACAAGGAUCAUCGAGCUCAACUCCUGGCUCCACACAGAACCACCCUAAAUUCAAACCACUUAAAUUCAAACUCCUUGAGCUCUGGCAGCUUGGGGCCAUGCCCACUGCCCUGGGCUGCCUGCUCCAUGCCCACUGCCCUCUGAUGCACUGACAUUUUGUACGUCUGAAUAUUAAAUAGGACCUUUCAACAAGGGAAUCCUGAUUUUAAAAGAUUCAAAACCUGCAGUUAGCCUGUGCUCUGAGGCGUUACCACUGAGAUAUGUCAUCUUGAUCAAUGAAAAUGACACCAAAUGACCAGAUCUUGUUGUUGGGCUAACCUAUUGUGUUUGCUGUCAUUUAUUUCAAUUUAUACUAUUUUGAUUCUGACAAAAGUGACCAGCAGAGGGCCACCUUCUUUUAAAAUACUCUAAUGGAAGAGAAUGAGGUGCAUUAAUGAAGCAUUAACCGAGAGAAAGUUUGAAAACUUCGAGAAGUCUUUUGUGCGUGAAGAGUUCCUCCACUGCUGGGCAGGUCUGGCAUGCAGGCUUCGGUAGGACUGAACUGUGUAUCAGAGCUGCAUCCUGUCUGAGGCAUUGUCUGUAACAGGCAAAUACGGAAAAAAAAAGCCAGUUCUAAAGGAGAGUGCACUGCAUCAUUUCCAAACUCCGUGAGCAAGACAGUAAAAGCAGGCUCAAGAGUGUUUCCUCGGAUCACAGGGGAUCAGCUGUCCUGCCUAGGCGUAAACAGCAACUACCUGGAGGAAAGGCUACCAGAAUUUGACAUUACACCAUUAAAUGGCUGGCCAAACCCACUUCUCUUUGAUGCUGUUGGAAUCAAUGGACCUGAAGCAUCUGUGUAGAAUUCAAAUUUCAGCAUGUGUGCUUUGCUGAAGAAGAAAAGUCAUGUAACGUCUGUAAGGUUUCACAAAUAAAUAAAUGUGCAUAAAAUAUAUGAGUUGAGACAUUAUGGGCAAAUCUUCUCUAAGCAGAAUUUCC